UUUAAGGGUAACCAUGAGAUUUUAUAUAUAUCCCACUUUGAUCGUCCAUCUUUUUUGAAAUAUUUUUAUGAUUAAUAUUUUUAUUGUUAUUAGAUGAUAAAACAUGAAUAAUAUUUUAUACAUGACUUAUGUUUUUUAUAUUUUUUUAAAAUUUUUUAAAUAAGACGAAUAAUUAAAGUUAGACACGGAAACUCAUGGUUGCACUAAAA
rfam:Oryza barthii chromosome 8, whole genome shotgun sequence.